rnacentral:rRNA from 1 species
UACGAAGGGGGCUAGCGUUACUCGGAUUGACUGGGCGUAAAGCGCGCGUAGGCGGUUUGUACAGUCAGACGUGAAAUUCCUGGGCUCAACCUGGGGGCUGCGUUUGAUACGUGCGGACUUGAGUUCGGAAGAGGGUCGUGGAAUUCCCAGUGUAGAGGUGAAAUUCGUAGAUAUUGGGAAGAACACCGGUGGCGAAGGCGGCGACCUGGUCCGAUACUGACGCUGAGGCGCGAAAGCGUGGGGAGCAAACAGG